rnacentral:sRNA from 1 species
UCCCAAGGUGGCGCCUCGACGAGCAAGC